GAAACUCUGAUGCAGCAACGCCGCGUGGAGGAUGACGCAUUUCGGUGUGUAAACUCCUUUUAGUAGGGAAGAUUAUGACGGUACCUCUUGAAUAAGCACCGGCUAACUCCGUGCCAGCAGCCGCGGUAAUA
rnacentral:rRNA from 1 species